rnacentral:rRNA from 1 species
AUGAAACAUCAUUCUUUUUUACACAAACUGAGUGCACUUUCAAAAAAAGAUCUCCAAAAUAUGCAAAACAUGGAUGGAGUGAACUACGUCCCCCAACUCUUUCAUGAAAAAAUGCACUACAUGUCUGCACGCAUGUGCCGGACGGGUGACAAAUUGCACGCGUGGCCAGCGGGACUGCAAGCAGAUGGGCUGUGCACUCCACAAGAGCAUCGAGUAAACUACACGAUGAGCCAACAUACAUACAACACCGAUGUUUCCGCACUGCAAGAACCCACAUGCUGCACUGCACGGGAACGUGCCCGUGCACACCGCACCACACCAUCUGUCAAACCGCACACCACUUUCACACCAAGUGCACUUCAAGUUGAUGCCCGGAGGAACUCUCACGCGCGGGGUGCAUCGCGUUUGGUACCGAACUGCAUGCUGGCAUCGUUUUGUGCCUGCCGCUCGACAGCGGACUGCAGCAGCGCUCCACCGUAUGUUGCACGCCGUUUGAACCUCUUUUUUCAUAUCCCUUUGAGAAAUACCUAA